CCUACGGGUGGCUGCAGUGAGGAAUAUUGGUCAAUGGCCGGAAGGCUGAACCAGCCAAGCCGCGUGAAGGACGAAGGUGCCAAGCAUUGUAAACUUCUUUUGUCAAGGGACAACAUCAGGCUCGAGAGCCUGAACGAGGGUACUUGAAGAAAAAGCAUCGGCUAACUCCGUGCCAGCAGCCGCGGUAAUACGGAGGAUGCGAGCGUUAUCCGGUUUUAUUGGGUGUAAAGGGUGCGUAGGCGGACUGUUAAGUCAGCGGUAAAAUGCCGGGGCUCAACCCCGGCGAGCCGUUGAAACUGGGUGUCGUGAGUGGUCGAGAGGUAUGCGGAAUGCGCGGUGUAGCGGUGAAAUGCUUAGAUAUUGCGCAGAACUCCGAUUGCGAAGGCAGCAUACCGGCGGCGAUCUGACGCUGAGGCACGAAAGCGUGGGUAUCGAACAGGAUUAGAUACCCUUGUAGUC
rnacentral:rRNA from 1 species